UGGGGAAUUUUUCGCAAUGGGGGAAACCCUGACGAAGCAACGCCGCGUGGGGGAUGAAGGUCUUCGGAUCGUAAACCCCUGUCGAUCGGGACGAAAGCACCCGACCUAACACGUCGGAGUGUUGACUGUACCGGUGGAGGAAGCCACGGCUAACUCUGUGCCAGCAGCCGCGGUAAUACGUAGGGUGCGAGCGUUAAUCGGAAUUACUGGGCGUAAAGGGUGCGCAGGCGGCCCCGCAUGUCAGGCGUGAAAUCCCCGAGCUCAACUUGGGAAUGGCGCUUGAAACUACGGGGCUGGAGUGUGGCAGAGGGAGGUGGAAUUCCACGUGUAGCGGUGAAAUGCGUAGAGAUGUGGAGGAACACCGAUGGCGAAGGCAGCCUCCUGGGCCAACACUGACGCUCAUGCACGAAAGCGUGGGGAGCAAACAGGAUUAGAUACCCUCGUAGUCCCUGAGCGGGCUGGCAAGGCGCAU
rnacentral:rRNA from 1 species